rnacentral:tRNA from 1 species
GGGGCUGUGGCGCAGUUGGGAGCGCGCCUGACUGGCAGUCAGGAGGCCACGGGUUCGAAUCCCGUCAGCUCCA